UGCUAAAAUAACUGACAAAGGGUCCAGUGUUCAGAAAGCCCCGCAGCAGCUCGGGGCUUUUUGCUAUGCGGCCUUAGCUAUCUUAGGAUAGCCAGAACACUGGGCGCUUGCGCCCUUUUUUU
rfam:Idiomarina loihiensis L2TR, complete genome.